rnacentral:rRNA from 1 species
ACUCCUACGGGAGGCAGCAGUGGGGAAUUUUGGACACUGGGCGAAAGCCUGAUCCAGCAAUGCCGCGUGAGUGAAGAAGGCCUUCGGGUUGUAAAGCUCUUUUGUCAGGGAAGAAACGGUGAAAGCUAAUAUCUUUUGCUAAUGACGGUACCUGAAGAAUAAGCACCGGCUAACUACGUGCCAGCAGCCGCGGUAAUACGUAGGGUGCAAGCGUUAAUCGGAAUUACUGGGCGUAAAGCGUGCGCAGGCGGUUUUGUAAGUCUGAUGUGAAAUCCCCGGGCUCAACCUGGGAAUUGCAUUGGAGACUGCAAGGCUAGAAUCUGGCAGAGGGGGGUAGAAUUCCACGUGUAGCAGUGAAAUGCGUAGAUAUGUGGAGGAACACCGAUGGCGAAGGCAGCCCCCUGGGUCAAGAUUGACGCUCAUGCACGAAAGCGUGGGGAGCAAACAGGAUUAGAUACCCCUGUAGUCCCAUGA